UUUUAUGAAUGAAUAAAUGAAUGACCAAUGAGCAAACAAAAAUGCAAAAGAAGUUCAUAUCUAGACAUAUUUAGAUGAAACUGAGCCCGGGAAAGCAUUAGCAGCCUAACAGAAGUUUUGAGUCAGCAGUCUCAUCAAUCACUAAAAAGAAGCAUCUUUUGAAAAUUACAAAAUACCUGUAGCAAUUGGCCAUGAGGCUGAAUUAUGGUCUGAUAAUUAGCCUAAGUCUAUUCCUUAGAAGUUGGAGAAGGAAAAAUAACGACAAG